rnacentral:rRNA from 1 species
UAUUGGACAAUGGGCGCAAGCCUGAUCCAGCAAUGCCGCGUGAGUGAAGAAGGCCUUCGGGUUGUAAAGCUCUUUCACCCGUGACGAUGAUGACGGUAACGGGAGAAGAAGCCCUGGCUAACUCCGUGCCAGCAGCCGCGGUAAUACGGAGGGGGCAAGCGUUGUUCGGAAUUACUGGGCGUAAAGGGCGCGUAGGCGGCCUUGCAAGUUGGGCGUGAAAGCCCUGGGCUUAACCCAGGAAUUGCGCUUGAGACUGCAUGGGCUUGAGUGCGGGAGAGGUGAGUGGAAUUCCCAGUGUAGAGGUGAAAUUCGUAGAUAUUGGGAAGAACACCAGUGGCGAAGGCGGCUCACUGGCCCGCAACUGACGCUGAGGCGCGAAA